UACGUAGGUGGCAAGCGUUGUCCGGAUUUACUGGGUGUAAAGGGCGCGUAGGCGGGCUUUCAAGUCAGAUGUGAAAUACCGAGGCUUAACCUCGGGGCUGCAUUUGAAACUGUUAGUCUUGAGUAUCGGAGAGGAAAGCGGAAUUCCUAGUGUAGCGGUGAAAUGCGUAGAUAUUAGGAGGAACACCAGUGGCGAAGGCGGCUUUCUGGACGACAACUGACGCUGAGGCGCGAAAGUGUGGGGAG
rnacentral:rRNA from 1 species